GGGCGAGUAUUUCAGCGGCUAGAAGGCCUCGCUUACACCGAGGAGGUCACAGGUUCGAAUCCUGUCUCGCCCA
rnacentral:tRNA from 3 species